UCGAAUCCUGCUAAGCAGACGACCCGAGAACAUGUUUAUCGCACGGGCAUCGAGGACGAUGGAAACCACGGACCGCGAGGAUUGCGUCGACCACCGGUCGCUCGUCAUGUAAACAACCAACCCCGCGCAGAAACGCGCCAAGGAAAACUUAAAAAGGAUUGUCUGCCCCCCGUCGUGCCGUAUCGGUGCGCACGGGAGGACCACRGACGCCUAAAGAAACA
rnacentral:rRNA from 1 species